rnacentral:rRNA from 1 species
GAUGAACGCUGGCGGCGUGCCUAAUACAUGCAAGUCGAGCGAACAGAUGAGGAGCUUGCUCCUCUGACGUUAGCGGCGGACGGGUGAGUAACACGUGGAUAACCUACCUAUUAGACUGGGAUAACUUCGGGAAACCGGAGCUAAUACCGGAUACUCUAUUGAACCGCAUGGUUCAACAGUGAAAGACGGUUUUGCUGUUACUUCUAGAUGGAUCCGCGCCGCAUUAUCUAGUUGGUGAGGUAACGGCAUACCAAGGCAACGAUGCGGAGGGGACCUGAGAGUGUGAGCGGCCACACUGAAACUGGGACAGGGUCCAGGCUCAUACGGGAGCCAGCAGUAGGGAAUCGGCCGCAAUGGGCAAAAGCCGAACGGAGCAGCACCGCCGGAGUGAGGAAGGUCUUCGGAUCCUAAAACUCAGUUAUUUGCGAAGAACAAAUGGGUAAGUAACUGGGCAGGUCUUGACGGUACCGAAACAGAAAGCCACGGCUAACUACGUG